rnacentral:pre_miRNA from 1 species
AGCAGAGGCACGCCCGGCCACCGGCGAGGCUCGGCCUUGCCAGAUCUGGGGAGGCCGAGCCUCGCCGGUGGCUGGGCUUGCCUCUGGU